AUGGAACCUCACAGAAUAUCAGAAAUCCAUCCAAAGUUCAUGUCGAUGCAAUACCUGAUGUUGUUUCCAUACGGAGAAGACGGCUUCAAGCUUGAAAUACCUUACAAGCGAAGAAAAGAAGGUGACAAAAGCAGGAAAUAUGUAACUAUGCUGGACUACUACGCAUACUACCUACUGCAAAGACCUGACCAAGGAAUGUCACUGCUAACGUCUAGACAUCUAUCGCUGCAAUUUUGGGUAGAUGUUUACACAUGCAUUGAGCAAAACAGACUAAACUAG
rnacentral:rRNA from 1 species